rnacentral:rRNA from 1 species
GAUGAACGCUAGCUACAGGCUUAACACAUGCAAGUCGAGGGGAAACGAUAUUGGAAGCUUGCUUCCGAUAGGCGUCGACCGGCGCACGGGUGAGUAACGCGUAUCCAACCUGCCCAUCACUUGGGGAUAACCUUGCGAAAGUAAGACUAAUACCCAAUGACGUCUCUAGAAGACAUCUGAAAGAGAUUAAAGAUUUAUCGGUGAUGGAUGGGGAUGCGUCUGAUUAGCUUGUUGGCGGGGUAACGGCCCACCAAGGCGACGAUCAGUAGGGGUUCUGAGAGGAAGGUCCCCCACAUUGGAACUGGGACACGGUCCAAACUCCUACGGGAGGCAGCAGUGAGGAAUAUUGGUCAAUGGACGAGAGUCUGAACCAGCCAAGUAGCGUGCAGGAUGACGGCCCUAUGGGUUGUAAACUGCUUUAUAAGGGAAUAAAGUGAGUCUCGUGAGACUUUUUGCAUGUACCUUAUGAAUAAGGACCGGCUAAUUCCGUG